ensembl:lncRNA
AUGAAGCACUUUUGUGUGGAUUUCUUGCUUAGCUGGAAACUGCCGAGAACCACAUCUUGUCGUCCUGUAAAAAAGAAAGGGGCNCUGUUUUCUGCAUCUGUUCAAAUUCAAUUCAAAUGCAGCCAUUGGAAUUCAGCCUCAGUUCAGUUCCAAAUGACACACAACCUGAUCCUAUGUACUUACCUUUUCCAAGCCAGCUUCUGCCCUAUUUUCCCUGCGCAUUCCCAUUCCCAGAAUACCCAGCCUUGAAGAAGGGAGUAUGUUGGAAACAAACCCUUUGUUUCAUACGUAGGAUGGAAGAAAGGGAGGCGGGAGAAAACAUUUGAUUGAUGGAGUCAUCUGGCCAUGUUUAAGUUCCCAGUCUUUCACUCAAGUCCUUUAAUCUCUCCUCUCCUGUUCUUAUUCUCACAAAGCAAGUCACGCCGUCUGGGUUGGCUGAUGGGAAAAUGGCGGCAGGGUGUACAACUGGCAUUUUCUGGGCAGCCCCAGCUGCUGGCAUAAUGCGGCGGUUUAGGGAAGCAUUCCCAGAUACCGACCAGAACGUGAUCGCCCAUUAUGUGGAGCUGGCAGCCGCCAUGACUUUGGCUGGACUCUCUCAUGAGGGCGUAUUUCAAUAUGCAACCCCAGGGGUCCACAAUAACUAGAUAGAGUGUCCAGUCACACCUAGGUUAGGUCAUUGGUUUUCCCACCAGUCUCCAGGUUCUCUCCCCCACUGAGGAAAACUUGGCGCUUUACAAAGCUGCAGUAUAUGAGCGUUGUUUAUCUGCUCCAGUCCAAUACAGGUCUAAGCGGCCAGCUUUCCCCCCUUAUUCACUUAGCUAGUAUGGCUCUGUCAACAUGAGCUAUGCUUUCUGCAGCCUUGUAAAUACCAAAUAACUUUGUGCAGUAUUGAAUCCGAGCCUGUCUGGUAUUACAGCCCAGCGCUCUGAGGUAAUAGAUCCACAGCUACAAGUCUCGGCCAUGUGCUUUUAAAGAUAUAAAGAGCACUUGGCCGGCCCCUAUUAGAUGACCCUGUUCUAUUGCCGGCAUUACUCAAUAGACUUUAUAGGAUACUUGCUUCACAAGAACAAUCUUUCACUCUUUGUCCUGUCUGUCUUGUGUUUCAGAGUGGCAUGGCGCUGACCUAUGAUCCCACUGCAAUGCAGAACGGGUAAGAGAGAUUAAUUUGUUGUUUUGAGUUUUCGAUGCUUGUUAAAGGAAUGAAAAUUUGAUGUUUAUCUGUUUACCCCCAGGGCAUACAAGAUAUAGGUGACUUUGUUUCUUCAGUAGAAAACAAACGAAGAUUUUUAACUCAAACCAUCGCAGUCUGUCAGUCAUAUAAUGUAAGUGGAUGGGAAUCACGGCUUUGAGAGUCAAAAAACAUACACAAACAAAACCAAAUUAAACUCUGCUGCUCUUGAUGAUACAUUGAUGUGUAAAGACACAAAACGAUAGGUCUGCACAAGAUUUUAAAGUACUUUUACUCAUUUAUAAAUCGCUCAAUGGCCUAGGACCUAAAUACAUUGCAGAUAUGCUUACUAAAUAUAAACGUAACAGACCACUCAGAUCAUUAUGAUAGAGUUGGUUAGAAAUACCAAGUGUUCACACAAAACAAGGGGAGUCUGCUUUUAGUUAUGCCGCCCGCAGUUGGAAUCAGCUUCCAGAAGAGAUCAGAUAUGGUAAAACAUUAGCCACAUUUAAAUUUAGACUCAAAACUCAUCUGUUUAGCUGUGCAUUUAUUGAAUGAGCACUGUGCUACGUCUGAACUGAUUGCACUGUAUUUUAUAUAUAAUCAUUUCCUAUUUUUAACUUCAUUUUGUUUAAAUUCAUUUUAAUCAACUUUUUAAUUAUUUCAAAAGUUUUUAAAUUCGUUGUUUUAUUGUUGUGAUUAUUUAGCUUCCUUUUAUGUAAAACACUUUGAACUACCAUUGUGUAUGAAAUGUGCUAUAUAAAUAAACUUGCCUUGCCUAUUGCGCUUUUAAUAUUU